rnacentral:tRNA from 1 species
GGAAGUGUAGCUCAAUUUGGUAGAGCGUAUGCCUUGCACGCAUAAGGUUAACGGUUCAAAUCCGUUCACUUCCA